rnacentral:rRNA from 1 species
UACGGAGGAUGCGAGCGUUAUCCGGAUUUAUUGGGUUUAAAGGGUGCGCAGGCGGGAGAUUAAGUCGUCGGUGAAAUUUUGCAGCUCAACUGUAAAAGUGCCUUCGAAACUGGUUUCCUUGAGUGUGGAUGAAGUAGGCGGAAUUUGUGGUGUAGCGGUGAAAUGCAUAGAUAUCACGAGGAACUCCGAUUGCGCAGGCAGCUUACUAAACCAUAACUUACGCUCAGGCACGAAGGCGUGGGGAUCAAACAGGAUUAGAUACCCCCGUAGU